rnacentral:rRNA from 1 species
AUUGAACGCUGGCGGCAUGCUUUACACAUGCAAGUCGAACGGCAGCGGGGUAGUGCUUGCACUACUGCCGGCGAGUGGCGAACGGGUGAGUAAUAUAUCGGAACGUACCGAGUAAUGGGGGAUAACCAAUCGAAAGAUUGGCUAAUACCGCAUACGUCCUGAGGGAGAAAGCGGGGGAUCGCAAGACCUCGCGUUAUUCGAGCGGCCGAUAACUGAUUAGCUAGUUGGUGGGGUAAAGGCCUACCAAGGCGACGAUCAGUAGCGGGUCUGAGAGGACGAUCCGCCACACUGGGACUGAGACACGGCCCAGACUCCUACGGGAGGCGGCAGUGGGGAAUUUUGGACAAUGGGGGCAACCCUGAUCCAGCCAUGCCGCGUGUAUGAAGAAGGCCUUCGGGUUGUAAAGUACUUUUGUUAGGGAAGAAAAGGGAAGUGCUAAUACCACUUUUUGCUGACGGUACCUAAAGAAUAAGCACCGGCUAACUACGUG